UAGAUCAGGAGGUGGAGCGGGUCGGCUGGUAACCGGGAGGUUGCUAGUUCGAUCCCCGGCUCCUCCUAGCUGGGGGUCGAGGUGUCCCUGAGUGAGACACCUCACCCUGACUGAUCCUGCCGAGCUGGCCGUCGCCCUGUGUGGCUGACUCCGCCGUCGGUGUGUGAAUGUGUAAAUGAAUGGGUGAACGUUGGCAUAUAUAUUUUAAAGCGCUUUAAGUGGCCACUAGUUAGAAAAGAGCUGUACCUGUCAGUUCAGUGAUCUAACCCUGGGUCUGUACAGUGAUCUGACCCUGUGUCAGUACAGUGAUCUGACCCUGUGUCAGUACAGUGAUCUGACCCUGUGCAGAACAGUGAUUUGACCAUGGGUCUGUUCAGUGAUUUGACCCUGGGUCUGUUCAGUGAGCUGACCCUGUGUCAGUACAGUGAGCUGACCCUGUACCUGUACAGUGAGCUGACCCUGUGUCAGUACAGUGAGCUGACCCUGUGUCAGUACAGUGAGCUGACCCUGUGUCAGUACAGUGAGCUGACCCUGGGUCAGUACAGUGAGCUGACCCUGUCUCAGUACAGUGGGCUGACCCUGGGUCUGUUCAGUGAUCUGACCCUGUGUCAGUACAGUGAGCUGACCCUGUGUCAGUACAGUGAGCUGACCCUGUGUCAGUACAGUGAGCUGACCCUGUGUCAGUACAGUGAGCUGACCCUGGGUCUGUUCAGUCAGCUGACCCUGUACCUGUUCCGUGUCUGUCUGGCGGGUGGAUGGUGGCUCCUCCCCCAGAGGACGAGUCGGUGCUGAUGGUGUGGAGGGCCGCCCUCCCCCAGGAGGUGACGGAGCUGCGGCGGCACUGCGAGGUGCGGGCGGAGAUCAAGGCCAAGAUGAGAGAACAGCUCCGUCAGGACUGAACCCGCCGCUCAAACGCUUUCCAUAAAGGGACAGAGUUCACACUACACACUAAAGAGAACUUCAAAACACACCAAAGAAGACUCCUCCUGAAGCUAUCGGUGGAGCGACUCGCUGACAUGGACCGCUGUGACUUUAUCCUCCAUGUCUCGGGAGACCUCCUCAUCGUUAAAUGAAGGCUAACGGGCCGAUGACCUCAUCAUCUCUGAAAAACCUGGAGCCCUUUUUUAUAAACGCUUUGAUACUCUGGGAGCGGAACGGGAUCUGAGCCUUUGACAUGACUCCGGUGCGAUCCAGGGAUUAUUUAUCCUUCCUCUGGUUUCCUGUUGCUUUGUGUUUCCCGACGGCUUGCUGUUAUGCAGUGCUGUGGAUUGUCCUGACAUGUUUUAAACAAAUUUUUAAUUAUAUUUUAUGUACCGUAUCGACUCUUAUCGUCUUCAGAACAUUAACUCUGUCCCACCAGAACUGGCGAAUUUAAAAAAUACGAGUUCCAUUAGCAAUUUUUUAUUGGACAAUUGUGAUUACAUGAAUGAAUCGGCCGCCCUAAAACACUGCCACUCUGGUUCUAUGGAUGAGAAGAGUCUUUAUAAGAACACAAGUUUACAUUCAGCGACCCAAUGGGACGCAGACCGUAGCGUAACCCUGCUCUGUGAUUGGUUGGCUGAAGGUGGGCACCUGAUGGAGAACAGAGACACAACGACUCCAGCAGCACCGUCAGCUCAGAGCGCAUCUGCUCUUUAAUCUCAGGGCGGGGUUA
ensembl:lncRNA